rnacentral:rRNA from 1 species
AGAUUCAAGGUUAGCGUAUGCUGGCCUCGCGAUGGCUCGUGAUGCCUCGGGGACUUUGGUACCCGGGGCACGCGGUCGUGGCGGGAAGCCGGUGGCGUCGGCGUGCACUUCUCCCCUAGUAGGACGUCGCGACCCGUUGGGUGCCGGUCUAAGGGCCGGGCGAUGGCCUGUCUCGUCGCUUUGGCGCAUCGAGGGAGAUCCCCGGUCGCCAGACGCCGGGUGUCCGGUGGUACUCACAUGGUAUUGGGCCGCAAAAUUGAACUGGGUCGGACCCGUCGAAGCGCGAUCAGUGUUUUACGGAGGUUGGACCUAGCGCCGUACUUGUGCCUGGUUAGCUGUUGGGUGACGGUGUUCUACGAAUGGGCAUUGAAACUAG